rnacentral:rRNA from 1 species
AAAAGCUCGUUGUUGGAUCAGAGUUCGACAGUGCAAGGUGGCCUCGCUUGCGCAGUUGGCCCCGGUCAUCUGUGCGGCGGCGGAUCAACCCCUUGCGCCAAACUGCCGUCUCUAACAGACCGAAGCGGUUCCCUGUGAGUAGGCAACUUUAUUGGGGCUGAAAGCGUUUACGCAUCAACCAUAUGCAUACGGGACGUCGGUCAAUGUUACUGCGAACAAACCAGCGUGUCCAAAACAGGCUUUGCCUGAAUGUUCGGGCAUGGAAUAACAAGGGAUCGAUUCGCUCGGUUCUUUUUGUUGGUUUUAAACGCGAGAAGGAGAAAUUCAGGCCAAGGUGUCUGGGCUGGGUUCCCCUUCACUUCGGUGAAGGCCCCAGUCAGGCCUUGUCCUUACGGGGUCAUUAGGGACUAACGGGGUCGUACGUACUUCUACGUCCGAGGUGAAAUACUUACAUCGUAGGAAGACGAACUUCUGCGAAAGCAUUCGACAAGAAUGACGUCAUUAAUCAAGAACGAGAGUGUGGGGAUCGAAGAUGAUCAGAUACCGUCGUAGUCCACUACUGUAAACAAUGCCGUCUCAGGAU